AAAGUUGUUGCAGUUAAAAAGCUCGUAGUUGAACCUUGGGCCUGGCUGGCCGGUCCGCCUCACCGCGUGUACUGGUCCGGCCGGGCCUUUCCUUCUGGGGAUCCGCAUGCCCUUCACUGGGCGUGCCGGGGAACCAGGACUUUUACUUUGAAAAAAUUAGAGUGUUCAAAGCAGGCCUUUGCUCGGAUACAUUAGCAUGGAAUAAUAGAAUAGGACGUGCGGUCCUAUUUUGUUGGUUUCUAGGACCGCCGUAAUGAUUAAUAGGGAUAGUCGGGGGCAUCAGUAUUCAAUUGUCAGAGGUGAAAUUCUUGGAUUUAUUGAAGACUAACUACUGCGAAAGCAUUUGCCAAGGAUGUUUUCAUUAAUCAGU
rnacentral:rRNA from 1 species